rnacentral:lncRNA from 1 species
UUGAGCAUUUGUAUUUUAAUAAUUUCCUAUUUUUCUUAGCUGGAUUGACAUAUCUUUGACCCUUAUUUUCUCACCUUAACUCAGUUUUGGCUUUAGGCAAAUGAUUGAGCUUAAUUGAGAAUUGUAGUUAAUUUUCAUAUUUUGUGCUUACUUGACCUAUCUGCCUUUGUAGAGCCUAGAGGACAUUACAAAACUCCAAAUGGAACAUGC